GUUCUGAUAACUGUGAGUGGCCUAACCCACAUAGAUGGAAAUCAGCCUUGGGGCAAUUCUUUCCUUUAGCUGAUGGAACAUGAUAUAUACAGCUUGGAGCUAGGUUCCUCCACAGCACAGCUAUUUGUAUGCAUUCACUUUAUCACAUUUUUAGGAAUUUUGAUAGCAUCUGAUAGGUUUAGAUUCUGAGAGGCAUUUCCUUUGAGCCACCAGCAUCUUCAUGGCAGCUGGAGCACUGGCUAUAAUGAUCUGUUCCAGCCUCCUUAUCUUCAGUAGCCUUCCAUAUCUCCAAUCUGCUUGUGUCUCUGCAUACUGAGAAAUGAUUGUGGUUGUCAAUCAUAUGUGCCUUACUCUCAUCCUCCCCAGCUGUGGGUUCCGUCACUGAGAUCAGACUUGGUAGACCAUAUCCAGGGAUUUGAUUGUAUUGACUUGAAGUGAAUAUUGCGUUUGCCUUCAGAAAUCUCUUUCUUUCCCUCCAUCUUCCUUUGUGCAGGUCCUUUAUCUCUCAGAGCCUGUUUUCUGGCCAGCUGCAGCCUGAUGUUUACUCAGCUGGGGUGAAUAACUUUCCUUUCUGUGUGUCUGAUGUGCUGCGUGUUGUCAAUACAUGGGCCAAUGGAGAUGUCCUCCCUGCUCCAUCCAUAUCAGCUUCUGACCUGACUUAUCUGUUGGCAGACCAGCAGCACUGAAGUCAGUGUGAAUGCAGGCAUCCAUAGAAACGUGUUCUCAUACAGCAGAGGGACUGAGCUGUCAUUGCCUUGAGAGCACCUGGUGAGGUUUGGUCAGCUUUCCAAGAUGAUAACAUGGAGCCUGAAGACCAAGUGCUGAAGACAGAAGGAACUGCAUCCUUGCUUUGUGAGGCAUAGGGAUUCCAAAGGCCAUGAUUAGAUAGCCUUAAUUUUACCUAAGCUUACUGCUUCUUGUCUUUUUAUUUAUUUGCCAGAAGUAAAAGACAGUGGACUUUUCUGUAUCAUGAAGCUGAAGACUGAACGCAGUUGAACACCAAAGGAAGCAAUGGGAAAUAUUUAUCAUACUUGGGGAGAGGGAUCCAUUUUUGCCAUAUGAAAGCAUACAACAAAAGGUUCUGGCAGCUGGAAACUAGGAGAGAGAGCUGGGAUGGGACUUGCUUGCAUCCCACCGAUGAAGAUGAGCACCCAGUCCUCAGGUCCCUGUGUUUCCCAGCCAUCCCCCUCCCUGACAGAUGUCUGUCCUAGGAUGCUGGCUCCCACUCCUAUAUUUGAGAGGUGACAGAUGACUUGCUUCUCCUCCUUUUGCAAGCCUGGGCUGGGCUGAUCUGAUUGCCCUUUUCAGCUGUAGAAAGAUCCAUGUGGACAGGAAGACAUCAGAGAUAUCUAAGACUUCAAGGGCAUGAGAUAAAUGCAAAUGCAUCACUAAUGACUGCUUUAAAAGAAGGUGGUUCUGAUCUCUGUUCAAGAGUUGAUCUCCACCUUAGCAAUGCUACCUUGGGCUUUGAAAGGAAUCUGACAACAUGUCCUCCCUCUGGAUUUUAUUCCUGACUGUAAAGUGGAACCAGCUUUUAGAAGCGGAGGAUAAAGAUUUGGCUGGGAACAUCUGAGCUGGAGGACCAAUAACUUGGGAGCUGCUCGGAAGUGUUUGAUCUGUCUCAGGCCCGCAAGUGCUGAGCAAACGCCUGCCUUGAAGUGGAAGUUAUUUUAUGCAUCCACUGGAGUCCUCUAAAGCCAUUUCCUCUGGGACCUCUGGGGACACUCUGGGCAUCUAUUUUCUCAGCAAUACCAAUGUGACAUGAGGGAGACCGUCUCACAGCCGCUAGGACAGAAGGUGGAAGAAUGCAAACGCUGAAACAUUUUUCAGUUUGUCCUGAUUAUCUUUCCUCCUCCAGCAGUUUUAUUAGGGUUCAUAAAUUCUUCUUUAAAGCACUCAUUCCCCCAUGCAUUUUAACCCUCGGCAGCCUUGGAGGUCACUGUAACCCUGUGGGGUUGGUGGCUGUCCAGGAGAAGCCACCCUGCCCCAUCACAGCUGGCUCUGACCGAAGAGAAUGGAAAUCACUGCACAAAAAGGGCUCUGAGGCACAUGGAGCCCUUCCACUGGCUCAAGUGUAAUAUAAAUAACAACCUUAAUCAUGCAGUGAAAUUGGUGGGUGAAGAUAUGACUGAGGAAUCUGAUAUUGCUUUCAGAAGAUUUUCAGUGCAUCAGUGCUGCUCUCCCCAGCGUGGCAGGAAAGCAUGGAAAAUUCCUCCAUCACCACUGCUUGGUGCCCUCCUAUAAUGAGUAGUCGUUGAGGUAAUAGUAACCCUUUUGGCAAAAGCACUUGCUCCAUGGAAAGCCAGGAUAUAUCCAGUAAUGCAGGGGAGUGCCAUAAAGCACAGCUCAGUAGGAACCUGUUAAAGCGAUAACCUCUGCUGGCCCGGCACGCUGCUUCACCAACAGUCCCCAGCUCAUGAAGGCAGUGAUGCUAAGUGAAAUAUUCAGGGGAGGUUAAGGUCGGAUAUUAGGAACAGUUUCUUCUCAGAAAGAGCACUGAGGCACUGGAAUGGGCUGCCCAGGGAGGUGGUGGGAUCGCCAUCCCUAGAGGUGUUCCAGAACCAUGGAGAUGUGGCACUGAGGGACGUGGGCAGUGGGCAUGGUGGGGUGGGCUGGGGUUGGACUUGGGGAUCUGAGUGGUCUUUUCUAACCUGAAUGAUCGUAUGAUUAGGUAGCUGCUGUUUGUUAGGCAGUCUUAUUCUUGUGGCAGUCUUAUUCUUGUGUCCCCUUGGGAGAACAGCCCUGAAGGCUGGUGGCCUUGAACUGGCAGCUUCUGCUGUGGACAUCAUCCCCUCCUUCCCAGUUUGACCUUCUACCAAGCCCUGAAGCAGGCUGAUUUGAGAUCAAUUCUUGCAACUAUAGCUUAGCAAUCCAUUUGGCUGCGUGGUUUUAUAGCCAGUACAAUAGGAUACAAUUAGUUUGUCAUGCACUUGGUGCAUUAUUCGCUUGCUGUUUGCUGCAAAGGAGGAGAAAGCCGAAAAAGUACAGUGGUGAGCUAUGUUGCUUUGGAACAAAAUAUUUACAUUUUCCACAUUUCCCAUAAGGCAUUAGCACUCUUCCAAAUGUGACACAGGAGAAGCAAAUGCUUAGUGGUCUGCGGAUCUAACAUUUGCUUAAGUACCAUGACAUAUGUGCGUAUGUGUGUACACACACGAGAUAUUUUAGUUCUACUAUUUAAAUUAAGGGUGGGAUACCCUUCAGCACUGCAUUUCUCAGCAUAUGUGUUCUUAUGUUCACUUAUUCUUUGUUUCUGCCAAUGCCUAAAUAAGGAAUACUAAACAGCCACAAAUAUGCAGCCAGUGGAGACGCAGGAAUUCACUGGGAGGGAGCGAAUGCUGAUCUUGAGCUGAUAGGUUUGCAAGGGAAAGAGUCACUGCAGCUGCAGGAGAGAUUUCUGUGGUGGUAUCUGUCUGUAAUGCACAUCACAGCCCCGCUUUGCCUUCAGGGCAAAGCUGAAGCUUUUAGAUGGAGAGCAAGUCGUUUCAAUGCCACAUCAGGGAUAUAUGUAUAUAUAUAUCCACAUAUAUAUACACACACAUAUAAGAAGCACCUGUUUGCACAAUGUUGAUGGUAUUCUCUGCAGCUCUGAGCUGGAACACUGGGCUUGCAAGGAUGCCCAGAUGGGCUGCGUGUGCAGGCAUAGGGGACCACACAUACAUGCCUACAUUUAUUCCCAUUAUUCCCUUGACUUAGAGCUUUAAAGUCACCUCCUCAGUCUCAUGCCAGCUACACAAUGUAAGGAUGACACAGUCAGGCCUUAAAUUUCCUACCUUUAGGAAAAUGCACAUGAAUUUGACCUCACAUUUGUUUUUCUGGUCAAAAAAUGAAAAGUCUAUGGGAAAGCAGCUUGUCCUGGAGCUCACUGCACUGGAGUAUUUCCUGUUAAAGUACAAUGAUCAGCUUGGAAAUUAAAGGGCAGAGAUGUCCCAGUUUGCUUUUCUAUGAUAUCUCUACACUCAUAGUGAUUGAAAUUGCUUUUGUGAUUCUUAUUUUAAAGCUGGAGCAAUUUAAGCACCAAGUAUCUGCUGUAGUGGAAAUGCUGAGUCACAGCCUGAAGCAGUGAUGGAGCACCUGGUGGAAAGGCAGGGCCAACCCAGGGGAGCUCAGGUGCAUGCAGUGCACCUGAGUGAUUGGAAGGGAUGGAGCCACCCCUUCCCAGACCUCAUUUAAGGGUUGGCAGUGGAGGUGAGGGCAUCUCUUGUCUGCCUACCUGAGGCCUUCUAAAGGCAAAUAGCUCUUUUCUUUCAUUUUUGCAUCUGUGGCUGCUGCACUUGGGCUCACUCUCAUUUGCUGCAGCCAAAGACUUUGCCACCCUACUAUUACCAGCCCAUUAUAGCAUUAUGCCUGCUUGCCAGUUUUUUGCCUGUUCCUCGGGUUCUCUGAGAGUACAAGGAACAACACCUUUUCAGAGUGGGUUCUGCUUUCUGUCUUUUCCCACCUUUGUCCACGCAGCAUACCUAAAUGUUUCCUCACCUCAGUCCUUACAGGGACGUUGUUGGCCAGGAGAGAUCUGUAAUGCAGAGGUUGGGCAAAUCAUACAAUCACUAUGAUUGGAAAAGGCCACUAAGAUCAUCAAGCCCAACUGUCAGCCCAUGCAUGCCCGCUGACCACGUCCCUCAGUGCCACAUCCCCACGGUUCUGGAACACCUCCAGAGACAGUGUGAUAUCACCAGUUGGACUGGAUGAUCUUAGUGGUCUUUCCCAGCCUUAAUGAUUCCAUGAUAAUAUGUUAUGUAACAAUUAUAGUAUAAUAUAAAUUGUAUUUAAUGGAGAUGCUGCUCUGGGUGUGAUUCAGCUGCAAGGGAAUCCAUCCCAUCUCUUGCAGGGUUUGUGGGGUUGGUAUGUGAUUUCCAUGCCACUGUGCGUGCACCACUAUACACAGCACAUUGCCCCAUCUUUGUUGCUGCGCUGCCCAACUCUCAGCUCAGGGAAAGGAAAGUCUGAGCUGAUAAGAAAGAUAACUGUUCUGAAGAAGGGAGGCAGAGGUUAAGGAGUGCCAUCUUUUGCGAUCCAUGAUUUGAGGUGGGAGCUUGCAGCCAGGUCCCCUCCGUGCCCAUUCUUCUGCCCUCUUCGCAUCCUCUCCUCCCAUUUUCCACCCCACCCUUGGAGAGGGGUAUGUCUGCUUACCUCCCUUUGCAGCAAGGGCAGAGGAAGAUGAGGAGCUUGGCUGGGGCAUGGAUGGAGCAGCCCAGGGUGCAGCAUCAACAGCCCCAGCCCCUACUCCCCCCCAGGCAGCAUUUGCAAAAGAUCAAAGCGUGCAGCAAAAAUAGCAAAAGGGAAGAGCUUGUGGGUUGGACAUCUGGAGGCCAGAAGCAGCUCCUGCUUUUGAGUAGGCAAGAGGUGAAGGAGGAAGGGUAAAAAUGGGUUUACGGUCUCGCUUCUUUUACUGGGAUUAAAAACUUCUUAUAAAGUUAUAUGGUUUGCUGUUAUUUGAGAAAGCAGUGUCCUAUGUCUCUGUAAGGUCCUAAUUUCAGAAGCAGGGAUGCUAAUGACACCUAUAAAAAUAGAGAGGUGGGUAUUUUCUGGCAGUCACAAUGCUGAUUUAUCUGUGGUGCAUCAUCUGACAACCUUAUUUUUAUUCCAAGGGGCACAAGGAGGCUCCUGGGAAAUGUCUGUGCUGCUAAGCUGAAUAAAGCAGGUGCUAUUUCCUUUUGCAGCUGGAUGUUUUCAACUAUAAGAACUCAGAAACAAGCCCAAACCUAAGGGGAUGGCUGGGUCACAGCCCAGUUUUUCAAAGCCUUUGCAAAGAAACUGGAGACAGACAGACUAGAAGUCAAAGUCCAACCUCUGGACAGUGCUGCCAAGUGUGCAAUCAAAUAUUGUGCCCAUUUCCACCAAAUAAGUGUGCCAGUGUCAUUGCAAUGCAUUAACGUACAAACAGUACAUUGCAACGUUGGGUUCACUCUGCAAAUGGAGCUGAGUGAGCAAAGUGUUUCACGCCAUUAUGUGUGUCCAAAUGGGAUGAAAACCUCUGGAGGCAGCAUAGCGGGACAUUCUCUGGUGAAAACAUUUACCAUGGAAAAAUGCAAUUUGCAGGGGAUGAUUUGCAUCCAGCACGAUGAACAAUUUUGGCCACAGGAAAAAUAAGCUGAAGUGGAGGGAAGGAGGUUGGAAUGGAAACAGACAGAUUUGAUUGGUUUUCUUUUAACAAAAGAAGCCGUAAGUUAAACACUCUGUUUGUGACAAGAUGUACCAUCUUAUCCCAGGCAGGUUGGAAUUCUUUUUCUUUCCAUCUUUUUCCUUUUUGAUUUUUCCCUUCUCUGUUCAUUCUGUUGGGAAAUGUUUUGUGGAUCAUGGCAUGGGGAGGUUUGGGACUCUCUGUGUUCCUUUCUGAGCUUCAUCAUCGUUAUCACUUUGCCAUUGUUUGUCUUGAUGUAGGAUCAACAACUGUCUCUCUCCUUGGUCAAAUGGUGGAACUGCUUCUUUCCUCUUCCAGUUUUGCCUCCUGGUCAUUAAAGUGGGAAAUAUCUCUCAUUCAUUUGCAUUGGUUUGACCUGUGCUCCUGGUUUGCUUUCCCAGCUAGGGACAUGGUUGUUGCUCCCAGCCAAGUGCCAGGUGUAUGGCAUGUGAUGACACCAAGCCCUGCCAGGUUGCAUGUUUCAAUGCUUGUGUUGUGCCACUUUCAUUAGCGCACUGAUUAACCAUUUCCCCGUGGUCUAAUGAAUUCCACUUGCCCAUCGCUCACUGAGCAUACCCAGAAAUCACAGCAUUGGGCAAUGCUCACUGGGAUACUUAAGGAAGAGGAGGGGAAAAAAAAAUGAAUGUGCGAGUGCUGGAUUGGGCAGGAAUGGGGGGAUGAAGAAAUUCAAACAUUUUUUUUUCUUCUUUCAGUGGUGAGGGCAGACAAGGCUGAUAGCUGCCUCCGUGUGAAACUGGAGCUAUAUCCAGGAAUGGUAUUUAUAUGCACGGAUGUAGCUUUCAAUCAGGAUGAUGUAAACACUGCUGCAGAAUUUUUUGACCAGGCUGUUUGGGAAACGUGAUGGAUUAAAUAUGACAAACAAGAUUCCUGGACGUUUAUUUAUCCGCCUUUUCAUUUGUGCCAGUUUCAUGUUAGGCAAGGCUCUGGCUACCAGACCGAUGCUAAGCCCUGAGGGCAGGCAAGGCUGGGGGGAGGGAGCCACAAAGAGAGUGUUUUCCAAGCCUCAUCUAAUUUAAAGCAUCUUUUGCUAAGUGGUGCAGCGAAGAGGAUGUGGCUAACACAAAUAAAAAAAUCAUAAAGGGAUCAAAGUGUGUGUGCAAAUUCAUUCCUUGUGGCAGGAGUUCUGCCAGUUUGCUUGCUCGCUUGCUUUCCUAAAAAAAAAAUUCUCUCCCCGCCCCCAGGAUGGAGCGAGCAAUCGCAUGUCAGAAUCUCUUCUGGAUUUCAUAAGGGUUUCAGCACUGAUGGAUGGGCGGGAUGACACCAGAGCCUGUACAUUGUGCCUGAGAUCUGAGCCACUUCCCCUUGGUCCCAUGGUUACACAUGGAACAGUUGCAUGGGCACGAUCUAUUUAUAAGUGGUUCAAAGGCACCACAAAAGCAGGGGGAUGCUGGUGUGAAGCACUGGGCCACCAGGAAGCUCUCUAGCACUUGCAGGAACCUGACGUUACCCCAGAGCCUGAGCAGUUCCUGGCAGGGUGUAAGAUGAGGAAAGUCCUAAAAAGGAAAACAAAAGAAAAGAGAUAAAAAAGUAAAAUCUAAAA
ensembl:lncRNA